rnacentral:lncRNA from 1 species
UCCUCACUGAUCAGUUCCAUACCUCCUAGGAUCUUUUAGAUUUAAAAAAAUAAAAAAUAAGUAGUGAGCUUUACAAGUUCAGUAAAUUAUCAAUAUCUCUAAAAAAUCAAGUAUAAAUAAUUUUUAAAAUAUCAUAAUUUCAUAGUAAUAUGUAACAAUAUAAAUCUUCUUUCAAAACAUGUCAUGCAAAACAAUAAACUCCAAAAAUUCUCUCAAUUUUUGACGACUACGGCC